UCAUGUUUGGGCUAGCACUGCUUUUCACCUCUGUAAUAGUCAUCAAGGCACAAGGUAAGUGACAUUAUUGUGAUUCAAAUUUAAUAGCUAUUGAGUAUUAUGGUUACAUAUCAUGUCUACAAUGCUCAUUCAAUUUUAGUUGUUUGCUACAGGCUUUGAACUGCAACAAUGGACUCUGUACCCCUGCUUGCCAAAUUAAGACUCUAUUACUUUCUUUUUUCAAAUUCAUCUGUACAUUUUAGGUAUAUAAAUUAAAACAUGCUCAACAGGUCCUUCAGCAAUUUCAUGACCAUGAUAUUUCUUAAUUAUCAUGGACAUGAAAUUGCUGUAAUGGUCAGUUUAUCAAUAAACUGAAAAAUAUACAGUGCCAUCAUGUCUCUCACUAAACUUUAUUUCUAUGACAUCACAGAAAUCAUCUAGCUCCCUAACCUUGUAAAUGGUUAAGGGGUCCUUUUUAUGUUUCUGUUGAAUUUACUGCAUCCAUGGUACAUAUUAUGCCACCAAAGUUUGUGACCGAUCUAUAUAAUGGACAGUCAUCCAAAGCUUCUCAAACUACAGCCUUUCUUGUCUAAUAUUGUACUAUUUAAUGGUUUUAUGAACCAAAUAUCACCUGGUAUUUAGAAAGUGAACUACUUGGAUGGAACUUAUAUAUUAAAGGGACACUAUAGUCACCAAAACAACUUUAGCUUAAUGAAGCAGUUUUGGUGUACAGAUCAUGCCCCUGCACUGUCACUGCUUAAUUCUCUGCUAUUUAGGAGUUAAAUCACUUUGUUUAUGCUGCCCUAGUCACACCUUCCUGCAUGUGAUUUACACAGCCUCCCAAAACACUUCCUGUAACGAGUCAUCUAUUGUUUACUUCCUUUAUUGAAAAGUCUGCUUAAUUUAGAUUUAUUUUUUUUCUAAUCUCCUGCUCUGCUAAUAGCUUGCUAGACCCUUCAGUAGCCUCAUGUGUGUGUGAUUAGUUCACUUUACAGAGCAGGAGAUUAAAAAAAAAAAAAACUAAAGCAAGUUACUUCUGAAUGAAAAUGAAACUAUUUUGUUUUCAUGCAUGCUGCUGUCAGUCACAGCCAGGGGAGAUGUGGCUAGGGUUGCAUAAACAGAAACCAAAGUGAUUUAACUCUUAAAGGACCACUCUAGGCACCCAGGCCACUUCAGCUUAAUGAAGUGGUCUGGGUGCCAGGUCCAGCUAGGGUUAACCCAUUUUUUUUAUAAACAUAGCAUUUUCAGAGAAACUGCUAUGUUUAUCAAUGGGUUAAGCCUUCCCCCUAAUCCUCUAGUGGCUGUCUCAUUGACAGCCACUAGAGGCGCUUGCGUGCUUCUCACUGUGAUUUUCACAGUGAGAGCACGCCAGCGUCCAUAGGAAAGCAUUGUAAAUGCUUUCCUAUGAGACCGGCUGAAUGCGCGCGCAGCUCUUGCCGCUGCUGCGCAUUCAGCCGAGGGGAGGAGAAGAGGAGGACGGAGGAGGAGAGCUCUCCGCCCAGCGCUGGAAAAAGGUAAGUUUUAACCCUUUUCCCCUUCCAGAGCCGGGCGGGAGGGGGUCCCUGAGGGUGGGGGCACCCUCAGGGCACUAUAGUGCCAGGAAAACGAGUAUGUUUUCCUGGCACUAUAGUGGUCCUUUAAAUGACUUGGAACUGAGCAGUGAAACUUCAGAGACAUUACAUAUACACCAAAACUUGCUUCAUUAAUCUAAAGUUAUUUUGGUGAAUAUAAUGUCCCUUUAAGUCCAGUAGGGAAAGAUCCAGUUACAGGUUAGCAGUAUAAAGUAACCACUUAUAAUAGACUCAUCCAGGAUUUAUUGUGCAUUGACAAGAGAACACCCAUAAGGUUACACAUUGAUAAAAUGCUAAUUCAAUUGAGGGAUAAUGUUUAGAUAAAAAAGUUAUCAUCCUCUCUGUCCAGGAUUGUAACCAAAAGAUAAAAUAGACACCUACCAAUUAGAAAUUCUAUGCUAAAAAGAGCAUAGAUAUAACUAUGUAAUUGGGUGUGCUUAAAAUGUUAUCAACACUCCUGUACAGAGAAAAAAUGAAUAUCCACUAAACUAUGUAUUUGACUAAGAAGUGCAUAUUUAGAAGAGUAUAGUAAGUUGAUGAGGCAUAUAUGAUAAGAAGCUUAGAGCAAAUGAUUUAUUACUGGCAUUUAUAAAGCGCCAACAAAUUGGGAAAAGACAAACACGAUAAGAACAGACCGAUACAACAGGUAGAGGACCCUACCCGUGUGCUUACAAUCUGAAGGUUAAACUGUGGAAAUGAGACAAGAGGUAGCAGAGGGAUUUGUAUGUGAUUGCAGAUAGAGUUAAUAGUAUAACUGCAGCAGCUGAUAGCAUAUAAAGGGAAUGAGGAUGUGAUUGGCUGUGGUUCCAAACAGCUGGAAAGUAAUAGCCACAAUGGCUCACAACCUAUGAGAAAACACGCAGAAGUAAUCAAUUAGAGGUUCAUUCUACAUAUAAGAAAGUAUGAGCCUAGAGCAUAAUAAUCAGUCAAAUUCGUAUCACUCCUUAGUUCCUCUAAAGUAGGAGGAUGAACAAAGGAUAGUAUAGUGAAGAGGAGGCUAGAUUUAAGAUAGCUUGUAGUAGUAAUAUGCUAAUACACACUCUGAAUAAUCUGAUGGUUUUAAGACCUGAUUACCCUAAAUGUACUAAAAUCCUCCCACGUGUAGGGUCAUUGUAUUGUUAAUGUAAUUUGUUUGGCUGCUGGUUGGAAAAUUAAAGUUUUUAUUUGAGCUUUUACCAGUUCUAUAACACCUUAGAAGGCUAAGGACACUGCUGGUGAUGGAGUUACACCUCUGGUAGCAAUCUGCUAUAUCUCUAUAGAUAUAUAUGUAAAAAGUUAAGUCUUAUGUCCCUUUGUUCCAAUAUACAAUACUUAAUUUACUUACUAAUGUAUUUCAUUUCAUUUGUUGUAUCAGUGAAGCAUGGAACUUGCCCUCCUGAGAGAUAUUAUACUCCCUCUACGGAUAUUCCUCAUGCUUUAUGCACCAGGGACAGUCAAUGUGGUGGUGACAAAAAGUGCUGCUUAGAUAAUGGCUAUACAUUCUGCAAACCUCCAGCAAAAGGUGGGUAAACAGCAGUGAGAACUCACAGCACCCUUAAACAAACACACAGCACCCUCACACACACUAACAGCACUCACACUAACAGCACACUUACACACACAGCACACUUACCCACACAGCGCCCUCACGCACACACAGCGCCCUCACGCACACACAGCGCCCUCACACACACAGCACCCCCAGACACACACAGCACCCCCAGACACACACAGCACCCUCAGACACACACAUAUAUAAUAUAUAAAACAACCCUCAGUGAGUUAGACAAAGAUAAUUAGACACAUAUAAUGUGAUGGCAGAUAAGAACACGCUCACACAUACACAGCACCCCUCUUACACACACUGCACCACUACACACAUUACGCUCCAGAUACACGCUAGAUCCCUUACCCAAUUCUGGAUCAUCUAAUCUACACACAUACACACAGUAGAUCCCUAUAUACACUCUAAAUCCUAUACACAUACACACACACACAAUCUCCUAUACACACUCUGGGUCCUUUACACACUAUAUCCCCUACACACACACACACUGCACCAUCUACACACACUACAUUACUGACAAACAAACUCUGUAUCCCCUAUGCACACACUACAUUCCUUGCUAGCAAACGCAUGCUACAUUCUCUAAACACACACUCUCUACAACCCCUACACACACUACAGCCCUUAUGCACACACUUGAUACAUCCCCAAUACACACUAUGCCCCCUAUACACACACACACACACACUCUACAGCCCCUAGUAUGAUACACUUUCCUAGCCCUUUUGUCCUCUGGUAUCCUACUUAUGGAGACACCAGAGACAAGUUAAAAGCAAACACAGCGUAAGCAUGUUAUUAAAUUUGCCUGCGCUGCGCAGAACAAAUACAGGGCCUUUUUCUCAUGCUAGAGCUCAUCAGCAGAGCUGUGCGCAUUGAACUAAAAUGCUCACUGAAAGGGGGCGCGCUGAUCAUUAGUGAUGACAAAACAGACUGGCCCCGCUAUGAAUGUUAACUAUAUGUAACAUUGCAUAUCAAAAUGCGUCAUGAUAAUGUAUGGCAUUUUCUUGUCAACAACCUAUCUUGUUUGUGAUAUGUAUUAAAAGAGAGAUCUGGAAAGUGUCCCCCAAGUAAAGAAACUGAAAUAAAGAAUCGUCAGGACGUAUGCACUUCAGACAGUGAGUGUGCUGAUGGAUGCAAGUGCUGCUUUGGUUCAAAUGGAAAAACCUGUCUACCCUCUAAUAAAGGUAACAUUACUCUUUCCUAAUCACAAAAACACUCAUAAUAAUGUUACCCCUAUUGUACUUUUGUACUUAUUCAUUCUACUCUUCUUCUAUGCUUUCCAGAUUCCUCUUUUUUUCUGUCUAUCGGGUACUAAACAUGUUUUGUUUUUCACUCCUCCCUGAUAUUAGUUGUUUUUUUUUCCCUUGUUGCUUUCCCCUUCUGUCCAUUUCUGUAAAUUCUUCCAUAUCCCUUUUUUUAUUCCCUCCAUCUCUUCAGUUUAUCUCUCCUUCCCUAUUGAAAUCAACUGGUUUAUAUAUUUUACGUGCUGCCCAAUUCCUUUUCCCAAUUUUAAUUUCCUCUCGGCAAAGAACGUCCAAGCUAAGUGUCCACUAUGCAGAAAUUACAUUUUGGAAUAGGAAUUUUAAUAUUUCCAGUUGAUGUUCUUCACCAACAUCCAGUUGAUGUUCUUCACCAAAUAAAAUUUUGGAAUAGGAAUUUGAAUAUUACUAGUUGAUGUUGUUCCCUGAUUCAUGUGGCCUUGUAUUUGCUUAUAAUACUCUCAACUAGACAAGACUGUUACAGAUAUAUUAUAGAGACUGGUGAUGUCCGUUCAGAAAAGGUUUUAAUAUUGAUACAUAGAGGUCAGUCUUAGCAACACAGCACCAGUACUACAGGCAUGCAGGACAGUGCACAAUAAGUACAUUUUAAGAAAACAAAUUAAAGAAUAAGACUAAACCCUAAGAAUGGGCAAUUCUGGUCUUUGUAAUAAUGUGAUGUGUUGUAAACUGAGGGCUAGUAAUCAACUAACCCUUACCAUUUCGGCCUAAAAUUGUUGUAAAUUCAUUAAGGAAUUGAAAAUUUUAGUCCAAAGUAAUCAAAUGUGAGAAACUCAGCAAGUGCACUAUAUUUUUACUUUUUGGCCUUUAAUGUAGUAGUUUUGGUGUAAAGACCCUGUCCCUUGAGAAAUUUAAGACUGCCCAGCGGUGAAUUACCGUUGAGUUAAAAAAAAGUUUAAAACACUUUUUUUUUUUUUUUUUAGGGGGGUGGGAAUACUGCAUGAAUACUUUAUUGUAGGGCUCGGGAGAGCUAAUGGAAGCUACUGCUUAGUAAUAAUAACCCAGCUAAGAAGUCAAACUGUUCUAAAAUCUUAAGACUACAUACAGUGGAGAGCUGUAGUGUUCAUAAUGCUUAAUGUUUCUUUAACUUAUUGUGUCAUGAAACGUAGAUGGAGAUGUGUAUUCAAAGCUGGAUAUAACAUACCUUAAAGCACCACUAUAGGCACCCAGACCACUUCAGCUCAAUGAAGUGGUCUGGGUGCCAGGUCCAUCUAUGGUUAACCCUGCAGCUGUAAACAUAGCAGUUUCAAAGAAACUGCUGUUUACACUAGGGUUAAUCGAGCCUCUAGUGGCUGUCUCAUUGACAGCCGCUAGAGGCGCUUCCUCGCUUCUCACUGUGAAAAUCACAGUGAGAAGAUGCUUACGUCCAUAGGAAAGCAUAGAGAAAUGCUUUCCUAUGGACUGAUUGAAUGCGCGGGCGGCUCUUGGAAGAGGGAGGAGAGUUCCCCAGUGCCGAGGGAGCUGGAGAAAGGUAAGAGUUUAACCCCUUCCUCUUCAGCCCGGCGAGAGUGGGACGUGUUUGUUUUCCUGACACUAUAGUGGUCGUUUAACAUAACCUUACAAUGGAGGCUCACAUAACUGAACUGAAAAACUUAAGAUGAAUGGUUGGAUGGUUGACUGGAUGGAUAUUUGUUCUUCCCAUUUGUGAUUGACAGCCUGGCACCCCGACCGGGUACCACCAUAGAUCCCACGAACCACCGCAGCUUGUUUGGGGUCUCGCCGUCCUCCACCCACCAUGGACCCAAGACCGGAAUUCAGCUUCCAGUGGGUAGACCUCUCCUAGUCCAGAGUGUUACAAAAGACUGAAACUAGCUAUGUUACUGUUUGCUAACCGAUGGAUACUGUUUGUCCCUGGCUAAGUUUAAAGCGAAAAGACGCACGAACGGAUUAUCCGAACCAUUAUAAAGGACUCAUUCGUGGUACGAACAGGGGACCCCCCCAGAAUUGGCGUGUGCCGCCACUUAACCCCGUCACCCCGCAAACUGCCGAACGCUCGACCCCCCAGCCAGCGGCGUGUGGCAACCAUUAACCACCCAGGCAGCUGCAGUUUGCGGUUAACCACAAUGUAAUUGAUAAGCCUGGGGGCAUCGACGUUCGCCUCGAAAUACCGAACGGAAUCUACAGAACUAACAACCGAACGACGACCCCCCACCGUGGGCCGCGUAGCGGUCAUUAACUUGUGGUUUCUGCGGUUAACCGCAGGUCAAGUACCCUGCUACCAGGUGGCCCCAUUCCCUUACCGAACGAGCCCCACUACCAGACAAACAGCGGGACUUCGCAUGAACUGAUACCGAGUUUAGUUCCAGGAGUUAGACACGAAGUCCCGCUGCUCGCUAAAUCAGCAGAAAACAUGGCCGCCAACAAACGCUCACAAUCUCAAAAUGCCGAACGGACUUUAUACAGCAGGAACAGUCCAUUCUGUUCGUGAGAUUAGAGCGCCAUUCGCCUGUUUCAUCUAUACGAACGCGAGCCUUCAGCUGAAUGGUAGAAUGAAUGGUUUUCCGAUAAUAAUGUACAAGUUAUGGAUUUUUAUACAGUUUUCUGGGACAUAAUAAAACGUGGUCUUUUGUGCGCUUGGAGAUAAUUAGAUUGUAAAACCGUUGGCCUCAUUAUCUCCAAGCUGGGCGGGUAAUAAUUCAAAUGAUACAGUGUACUGUGAUUGGUUACCUGUUUGUACUGUACCUGUAUUCCAUCAGGUCCACAGGGGGCUGUCCUUGGACCUGAGGAAUUACAUAAAUUGCCAUGCUAUGUGCCAGUAAAGCCAGUUCGUUUUGACCCUCAACUUGCAGCCUCGACUCAUGUUGUAGGGAUCCGGGAUAUUGAUGCCUAUUUCGUGCUUAGGGAUAUUCUACACUUGCAGAUUGCUACCGAAGGACCUCCGUUCGACUCUCUACAGCGGGAACCAGGACAUCCAAGCGAUCAACCCUCCUGCUAGACCGGGGGCAAUUGUAACACAGAGAGCAUAGCAGGAACAGCUCUUAUAAGAGCUAAUGAUUAUACUCAGGGAGUAUUGUGAUAUACUUAAAAUAAUAAGGUGCGCUGUGUCUUUAAGACCCAAUUAUGACGCGUUUCGCCGUGUUCACGGCUUCAUCAGAUCUGAUGAAACGCGUCAUCACACAAGUUACGCAAGUUACGCACCUUACGUCACGCACCUGAUGAAGUCCCUCCCCCCGGAAGUUUGAGGAAACAGACGGUAAUAACGGCGGCGAACAAACAGAGGGAAUAGUCGACACCCUUAUGCUGCAUAUAACCGAACACUCUGAAACCUAAUACUGAAUGUGGAGGAAGGUGACAUAUUUGUGCUGUGCUGGGCAAUAAAUAUUUUGGAAUAUUUUCGUCUGUGGAGUCCUAUAUUUGAAGAAGCUGUUAAAGUUAGAGCAGGCUUAUUCUGCUCUACUUUUGUGAGUGCAAUAUUUGGCAUUUAUAAUUUAUAUUUUAUCUUUUAAACUAUUUUACACUAUUGUUUUUUUUCUGUUUCUCUCUUUUUUUCUAUGUAUAUUUCCAUUUGAGAGGACAUAUGUAUGUAUACUAUUUUAUAUUAAUAUUACACACUUUAAGUGCACUUUGUAUCACUUUGCACUUUAUUACAUAGUUUGCACUUGUUGCACUUUGUAUAAUUGGGUCUUAAAGACACAGCGCACCUUAUUAUUUUAAGUAUAUUCACAUGAGUGUUUGGAGGAGUUUUUACAUUUGUUUUUGGUGCAGCUUCAUAAUAUAUAAUAUUUGUUGGUUAGUUAUAUUCUAGACUAUUUUAUUACGAGUGCCUACUUUUUACUUGUUUUUUGUGUAUAUUUAGUAUUGUGAUAUAGCAAUCCCUAGAGUGAAUGUAGUUCUCCAAUCCCCCAAACAUGAGCCAAGACUUCAUGAAGGGGUAAACAAAUCUCUCUUUAAUGGGAGCCACACUUGGCCUUAUAUGACAAUCCCCAUGCAAGGGGUACGCCCACAGGGACCUAGUGGGGCAAUGAUUUGCAACUUCACAGACCAAUAACAAUAAGGUUACAAGGCACGCUACUCUCCUACACAGCACACAAACCCUCCUCUCUGCUUGGGAGAUAAAUGUUACACCCCCUGAUAUCCCUGAUCUGGGUGACCAACAUAUUCAAAAAUCACCCAGAUCAGUUCAAGGGUUCAGGAAUUUCCUGGAAAUCCUUUUUUUGACCGACCGUGCACAUGGUCCUAUGCCCAAAACAGUUCCAUGGAAUCAGGAAUAACAGUCGGUCUCUCUGUCUGCAGUACAAAAGUACAUACUUCUAAUGAACAGAGCCUUUUAAAGUGCAUUGGGCAAGGUAUAUUGCCGGGCCCGUAGAUCUGAGGCAAGAGGCUGGCCAGCAGACCCCUCCAAAAACCUGUGACAAGGUUCAGUUUGUCACACCAUUCCUUUAUCCACUCAUUCAAUCAAUUCAUUUCUCUCAUCCUUAGUACUUCCACCACUUUCAUUCAACACAAUGUUUUGUCCUUACUCUCAUAUUAACUACAAACCACAACAUGUCUCUUAAAUUACACUCAAAGCAUCAUAAUUAACCUAAUGUAGUGGUCAUAUUGGCAGGAGUGUCCUUGAGUGUCCCGUGCAGCCACCCCACACUCUCAGCCAAUGAGUUCUUCUCUUGCAAACAACUCACAUCCAGCUUUGACAGCUCAAGAAGACCAGAAACAGUCAAAGCAUGCUAAACUGCUGUGACAGAUUGCAGUGGAACAGGACCAACCAGGGCACUACUAGCAAACUGUAGUUGUAAUAUUUCAUUGAGAGUCCUUUAAAUGUAUGACAUUUUGUUCUAGUUUACUCUUGCGUUAUCGUUUUCUCAUUAUCUAUGUCAUAACUAUGUCAUCUACUUUCGUUGCAGUGAAGAAAGGUUUCUGUAGACAGCCAAACACUUUUCGUUGCUUGAUAAGGGAGCGUUCCUUCUGCGAGAAUGACAGUUCUUGUCCCAAAUUAGAAAAGUGUUGUCCAAAAAAUUGUCACUUCGAG